CCAACGCACAAGGCGUUUCUUUUGUUUCGGUUGCAGUCGAAGAUUUAGGGCUUCACAAAUGUUGAGCGGUGGAGAGGGCAGGUAUGCUUGUACCCAUUUUUCAGAUGGAGGAGAAGCAGCAAUCAUUUGACAUGACCGUGCUGAUAACUGCAAUGAGUACCAAAGCCACCAGUGUAUUCUCCAGAUGUUCCUCCAGCCACACGCCAGUGUGUGAUUGACAUCGACCAAUGCAGCAUUCCAGGAUCAGCCAGCACCAGCGAAGGCCUGGGCUUCUAGCUCGUACAAACAACUCGUAUUAAAUUAUUUAGUCCGCAAAUGACUAUUAAAGCGCUGUGCCAGAGUAGAAGCCACAGAAAGGCCAGAUUCGAGUAACAACAGCAUUGUCUGCUUCAAUUAAUUAUUGAAUUUUUUAAGGGCCCACAAAUGGAUAAACACAAUUCAUUGCUUGCUCUGGGGAGCCAGGGUCUCUGGGAGCAUUCACAAAGUAUGUGAGCUCUCUGGAGCGGAUCAGUGUGUGCUGGAGAUGGGAGCCAGGAGCUGGGCUGCACUGCAGGUGACCUUCUGAGGCCCAGUGGGCCUCUCGGUUCAGUGUCUGUAGGGAAAUUAAUACUUGCACCCCACUCCAUGGCCAGCCCUGGCCUGCACGCCCCAAGCUGCCCUUGAACAUCUGGCCAUGGCUUGCCUUCUUUUUGUCUUUUUAUCAGCCAUAACUUACAAUGUCCUCUCCAUCACACAGUCUGGCUUGUUUCUCUGACCCACUGCAGAGGUCAGGUGGAAAUCUUUGUGUGCAGAUUCCCUGGCAAUUGAAUUUUGAUCCAUUUAAGUCGGCCUGCUUCCUUCUGGACCAGAGCUCUUCUAACAUGCAAGCCACGUCAUCCGGUUCUGAGACAGGACCUUGAAGAGAAUGUAAUGUUUCUAGAAGAAUGAAGUUGGCUUCAGGCAUAUGCAGCCAUGAUGCUGAAGCUGGAUUAGUUGCAUGCCCUGGGCUCCUUACCCAGCACCGAACGCCCCUGGGCUGUGCCCUCUGCAGAGUGUUUGAGUCGGCUUCUGUUGUUACCUGUGUCCUCCAGCCCCACAGGGUCCAGCAGGAUAAUCUUCACCAUCCACACCACUACACUUGGCCAGUGUUCUGCUUCUACACUGCUAGGUAUAAUACAAACCCCCAAACUUAAAGGGGCAUUUACUAGGAGCUAAGGGGCUGAGUGGGUAGGAUACUGCCCUCCCAAAAUCAAUGUUGCCUGCAACCCUAGAAUCUGACUGCCUUUGCAAUUAGGGUCUCGGCAGGUAGAAAACGGUGAGACUCUUAAGAUGGGGUCACCCUGGGUUUCUGGGUUCCUGUGGGAAGAAGGAAUAUGGAACAUGGAGCCUUGGAGGGAGUGUGGUCCUGUGGACAGUUUGAUUAGCACUGUAGUUCAGAGACUGUGUGCCCGUGGUUCAUGUCGACACUUGGAACAUUCCUAAGAAACUAAUGCAGAGGUAAUGUUGCCCAAAAAACUGUUGCCUUUCAAUAGUUUUACAUGUUAUAUUU